rnacentral:rRNA from 1 species
UGGCUUGCUGGGGGGAUUAGUGGCGAACGGGUGAGUAACACGUGAGUAACCUGCCCUUGACUCUGGGAUAAGCCUGGGAAACUGGGUCUAAUACCGGAUACGACCAUCUGGCGCAUGUCAUGGUGGUGGAAAGCUUUUGUGGUUUUGGAUGGACUCGCGGCCUAUCAGCUUGUUGGUGGGGUAAUGGCCUACCAAGGCGACGACGGGUAGCCGGCCUGAGAGGGUGACCGGCCACACUGGGACUGAGACACGGCCCAGACUCCUACGGGAGGCAGCAGUGGGGAAUAUUGCACAAUGGGCGCAAGCCUGAUGCAGCGACGCCGCGUGAGGGAUGACGGCCUUCGGGUUGUAAACCUCUUUCAGUAGGGAAGAAGCGAAAGUGACGGUACCUGCAGAAGAAGCGCCGGCUAACUACGUGCCAGCAGCCGCGGUAAUACGUAGGGCGCAAGCGUUAUCCGGAAUUAUUGGGCGUAAAGAGCUCGUAGGCGGUUUGUCGCGUCUGCUGUGAAAGACCGGGGCUCAACUCCGGUUCUGCAGUGGGUACGGGCAGACUAGAGUGCAGUAGGGGAGACUGGAAUUCCUGGUGUAGCGGUGAAAUGCGCAGAUAUCAGGAGGAACACCGAUGGCGAAGGCAGGUCUCUGGGCUGUAACUGACGCUGAGGAGCGAAAGCAUGGGGAGCGAACAGGAUUAGAUACCCUGGUAGUCCAUGCCGUAAACGUUGGGCACUAGGUGUGGGGGACAUUCCACGUUUUCCGCGCCGUAGCUAACGCAUUAAGUGCCCCGCCUGGGGAGUACGGCCGCAAGGCUAAAACUCAAAGGAAUUGACGGGGGCCCGCACAAGCGGCGGAGCAUGCGGAUUAAUUCGAUGCAACGCGAAGAACCUUACCAAGGCUUGACAUGAACCGGAAAGACCUGGAAACAGGUGCCCCGCUUGCGGUCGGUUUACAGGUGGUGCAUGGUUGUCGUCAGCUCGUGUCGUGAGAUGUUGGGUUAAGUCCCGCAAC